UGAGUACGGCGGAACACGUGAAAUUCCGUCGGAAUCCGGGAGGACCAUCUCCCAAGGCUAAAUACUCCCUAGUGACCGAUAGUGAACCAGUACCGUGAGGGAAAGGUGAAAAGCACCCCGGAAGGGGAGUGAAACAGUUCCUGAAACCGUGUGCCUACAAGUAGUUAGAGCCCGUUAAUGGGUGAUAGCGUGCCUUUUGUAGAAUGAACCGGCGAGUUACGAUUUGUUGCAAGGUUAAGCGGAAAAAGCGGAGCCGUAGCGAAAGCGAGUCUGAAUAGGGCGCAUAAGUAACAGGUCGUAGACCCGAAACCAGGUGAUCUACCCAUGUCCAGGAUGAAGGUAAGGUAAUACUUACUGGAGGUCCGAACCCACGCACGUUGAAAAGUGCGGGGAUGAGGUGUGGGUAGCGGAGAAAUUCCAAUCGAACUUGGAGAUAGCUGGUUCUCUCCGAAAUAGCUUUAGGGCUAGCCUCGAGGUAAAGAGUCAUGGAGGUAGAGCACUGUUUGGACUAGGGGCCCUUCUCGGGUUACCGAAUUCAGAUAAACUCCGAAUGCCAUGUACUUAUACUCGGGAGUCAGACUGCGAGUGAUAAGAUCCGUAGUCGAAAGGGAAACAGCCCAGACCACCAGUUAAGGUCCCCAAAUAUAUGUUAAGUGGAAAAGGAUGUGGGGUUGCUUAGACAACCAGGAUGUUGGCUUAGAAGCAGCCACCAUUGAAAGAGUGCGUAAUAGCUCACUGGUCGAGUGACCCCGCGCCGAAAAUGUACCGGGGCUAAACAUAUUACCGAAACUGUGGAUGAACCUCUUCGGAGGUUCGUGGUAGGAGAGCGUUCUAAGGGCGGUGAAGUCAGACCGGAAGGACUGGUGGAGCGCUUAGAAGUGAGAAUGCCGGUAUGAGUAGCGAAAGAAGGGUGAGAAUCCCUUCCACCGAAUAUCUAAGGUUUCCUGAGGAAGGCUCGUCCGCUCAGGGUUAGUCGGGACCUAAGCCGAGGCCGAUAGGCGUAGGCGAUGGACAACAGGUAGAGAUUCCUGUACCAGUGCUAAUUGUUUAACCGAUGGGGUGACACAGAAGGAUAGGGAAUCGCACGAAUGGAAAUGUGCGUCCAAGCAGUGAGUGUGAGAAGUAGGCAAAUCCGCUUCUCGCGAAGCAUGAGCUGUGAUGGGGAAGGAAAUUAAGUACGGAAGUUCCUGAUUUCACGCUGUCAAGAAAAGCCUCUAGGAAGAGUAGUACUGCCCGUACCGCAAACCGACACAGGUAGAUGAGGAGAGAAUCCUAAGGUGAGCGAGAGAACUCUCGUUAAGGAACUCGGCAAAAUGACCCCGUAACUUCGGGAGAAGGGGUGCUCUAUUAGGGUGCAAGCCCGAGAGAGCCGCAGUGAAUAGGCCCAGGCGACUGUUUAGCAAAAACACAGGUCUCUGCAAAACCGUAAGGUGACGUAUAGGGGCUGACGCCUGCCCGGUGCUGGAAGGUUAAGAGGAGUGCUUAGCUUCGGCGAAGGUACGAAUUGAAGCCCCAGUAAACGGCGGCCGUAACUAUAACGGUCCUAAGGUAGCGAAAUUCCUUGUCGGGUAAGUUCCGACCCGCACGAAAGGCGCAACGAUCUGGGCACUGUCUCAACGAGAGACUCGGUGAAAUUAUAGUACCUGUGAAGAUGCAGGUUACCCGCGACAGGACGGAAAGACCCCGUGGAGCUUUACUGCAACCUGAUAUGGAAUGUUUGUACCGCUUGUACAGGAUAGGUAGGAGCCGAAGAGACGUGUGCGCUAGCAUACGAGGAGGCAAUGGUGGGAUACUACCCUGGCUGUAUGACCAUUCUAACCCGCCACGCUUAGCGCGUGGGGAGACAGUGUCAGGUGGGCAGUUUGACUGGGGCGGUCGCCUCCUAAAGAGUAACGGAGGCGCCCAAAGGUUCCCUCAGAAUGGAUGGAAAUCAUUCGCAGAGUGUAAAGGCACAAGGGAGCUUGACUGCGAGACUGACAAGUCGAGCAGGGACGAAAGUCGGGCUUAGUGAUCCGGUGGUUCCGCAUGGAAGGGCCAUCGCUCAACGGAUAAAAGCUACCCCGGGGAUAACAGGCUUAUCUCCCCCAAGAGUCCACAUCGACGGGGAGGUUUGGCACCUCGAUGUCGGCUCGUCGCAUCCUGGGGCUGUAGUCGGUCCCAAGGGUUGGGCUGUUCGCCCAUUAAAGCGGCACGCGAGCUGGGUUCAGAACGUCGUGAGACAGUUCGGUCCCUAUCCGUCGCGGGCGCAGGAAAUUUGAGAGGAGCUGUCCUUAGUACGAGAGGACCGGGAUGGACACACCGCUGGUGUACCAGUUGUUCCGCCAGGAGCAUCGCUGGGUAGCUAUGUGUGGCAGGGAUAAACGCUGAAAGCAUCUAAGCGUGAAGCCCCCCUCAAGAUGAGAUUUCCCAUUUCUUCGGAAAGUAAGAUCCCUGAAAGAUGAUCAGGUAGAUAGGUUUGGAGUGGAAGUGUAGCGAUACAUGGAGCGGACAAAUACUAAUCGAUCGAGGACUUAACCAAAA
rnacentral:rRNA from 1 species